AACCGGAUUAGAUACCCUGGUAGUCCACGCCCUAAACGAUGUCUACUAGUUGUCGGGUCUUAAUUGACUUGGUAACGCAGCUAACGCGUGAAGUAGACCGCCUGGGGAGUACGGUCGCAAGAUUAAAACUCAAAGGAAUUGACGGGGACCCGCACAAGCGGUGGAUGAUGUGGAUUAAUUCGAUGCAACGCGAAAAACCUUACCUACCCUUGACAUGUCUGGAAUCCCUGAGAGAUUGGGGAGUGCUCGAAAGAGAGCCGGAACACAGGUGCUGCAUGGCUGUCGUCAGCUCGUGUCGUGAGAUGUUGGGUUAAGUCCCGCAACGAGCGCAACCCUUGUCAUUAGUUGCUACGAAAGGGCACUCUAAUGAGACUGCCGGUGACAAACCGGAGGAAGGUGGGGAUGACGUCAAGUCCUCAUGGCCCUUAUGGGUAGGGCUUCACACGUCAUACAAUGGUACAUACAGAGGGCUGCCAACCCGCGAGGGGGAGCUAAUCCCAGAAAGUGUAUCGUAGUCCGGAUUGGAGUCUGCAACUCGACUCCAUGAAGUUGGAAUCGCUAGUAAUCGCGGAUCAGCAUGUCGCGGUGAAUACGUUCCCGGGUCUUGUACACACCGCCCGUCACACCAUGGGAGCGGGUUUUACCAGAAGUAGGUAGCUUAACCGCAAGGGGGGCGCUUACCACGGUAGGAUUCGUGACUGGGGUGAAGUCGUAACAAGGUACC
rnacentral:rRNA from 1 species